GCCCGGGUGGUGAAAUCGGUAGACACAAGGGAUUUAAAAUCCCUCGGCGUUCGCGCUGUGCGGGUUCAAGUCCCGCCCCGGGCACCA
rnacentral:tRNA from 74 species